rnacentral:rRNA from 1 species
CCUACGGGAGGCAGCAGUGGGGAAUAUUGCACAAUGGGGGAAACCCUGAUGCAGCGACGCCGCGUGAGUGAAGAAGUAAUUCGUUACGUAAAGCUCUAUCAGCAGGGAAGAAAUACUGACCUUACGGCCAGCAGACGGUACCUGAGUAAGAAGCACCGGCUAACUACGUGCCAGCAGCCGCGGUAAUACGUAGGGGGCAAGCGUUAUCCGGAUUUACUGGGUGUAAAGGGAGCGUAGACGGUGCGCCAAGUCUGGAGUGAAAUGCCGCAGCUUAACUGCGGAACUGCUUUGGAAACUGGCGAACUAGAGUGCGGGAGGGGUAAGCGGAAUUCCUAGUGGAGCGGUGAAAUGCGUAGAUAUUAGGAGGAACACCGGUGGCGAAGGCGGCUUACUGGACCGUAACUGACGUUGAGGCUCGAAAGCGUGGGGAGCAAACAGGAUUAGAUACCCUUGUAGUC